rnacentral:rRNA from 2 species
GACGAACGCUGGCGGCGUGCCUAAUACAUGCAAGUCGAGCGGAYUGAUGGGAGCUUGCUCCCUGAARUCAGCGGCGGACGGGUGAGUAACACGUGGGUAACCUGCCUGUAAGACUGGGAUAACUCCGGGAAACCGGGGCUAAUACCGGAUAGUUCUUUUCCUCGCAUGAGGAAAAGUGGAAAGGCGGCUUCGGCUGCCACUUACAGAUGGACCCGCGGCGCAUUAGCUAGUUGGUGAGGUAACGGCUCACCAAGGCAACGAUGCGUAGCCGACCUGAGAGGGUGAUCGGCCACACUGGGACUGAGACACGGCCCAGACUCCUACGGGAGGCAGCAGUAGGGAAUCUUCCGCAAUGGACGAAAGUCUGACGGAGCAACGCCGCGUGAGUGAUGAAGGUUUUCGGAUCGUAAAGCUCUGUUGUUAGGGAAGAACAAGUGCCGUUCGAAUAGGGCGGC